rnacentral:lncRNA from 1 species
UUCAAUUAUUUUCCGAGUAACCAGCGCAUCAGCACACGCUUCUGAAUUUUGUUUUUCUUUAACUUCUUUUUCGUUCUCCACCUCCUUAUUGUCUUCUACAGCACUACUUUCAUCACCUUCAAUUACUUUCUGAGAAGCCAACACAUCUGCACAAGCCUCUGAAUCUUGUUUUUCUUUAACUUCCUUUUCGUUCUCCACCUCCUUAUUGUCAUCUACAACACUACUUUCAUCACCUUCAAUUAUUUUCUUAGUAGCCAACACAUCUGCACAUGCUUCUGACCUUUGUUUUUCUUUAAUUUCUUUUUCCUUCUCCACCUCCUUGUCUUCUACAACACGACUCUCAUCAACUUCAACUAUUUUCUGAGUAGCCAACACAUCUGCACAGGCUUCUGAAUUUUGUUUUUCUUCAACUUCUUUCUCCUUCACCUCCUCCUUGUCUUCCACAACACUACUCUCAUCACUUUCAACUAUUGUUUGAGUAACCAACACAUCUGCACAGGUUUCUGAAUCUUGUUUUUCUUUAACUUCUUUUUCUUUCUCCACCUCCUUAAUGUCUUCUACAACACUACUCUCAUCACCUUCAAUUGUUUUCUGAGUAACCAACACAUCUGCAGAGGCUUCUGAAUUCUGUUUUUCUUUAACUUCGUUUUCGUUCUCCACCUCCUUAUUGUCUUCUGCAGCACUACUCUCAUCACCUUCAAUUAUUUCCUGAGUAGCCAACUUAUCUGCACAGGCUUCUGAAUUUUGUUUGUCUUUAACUUCUAACUCAGAACCUGUGGAUUCCAUAACUGGUUGAACAAGUGGAGCUGCAGUCACAGGAUGUUGAUUGGUU